rnacentral:rRNA from 1 species
AUACGGAGGGUGCAAGCGUUAUCCGGAUUUAUUGGGUUUAAAGGGUGCGUAGGCUGUAACAUAAGUCAGUGGUGAAAUACCGGGGCUCAACUCCGGGGCUGCCAUUGAAACUGUGUUGCUAGAGUUCAGUGGGAGUAGGCGGAAUGUGUUGUGUAGCGGUGAAAUGCAUAGAUAUAACACAGAACACCGAUCGCGAAGGCAGCUUACUAUACAUGGACUGACGCUGAUGCACGAAAGCGUGGGGAGCGAACAGGAUUAGAUACCCUGGUAGUCCACGCCGUAAACGAUGUUCACUCGCUGUUGGCGAUAUACAGUCAGCGGCCAAGCGAAAGUGAUAGGUGAACCACCUGGGGAGUACGAUCGCAAGUUUGAA